rnacentral:rRNA from 1 species
UUGCUCAGAUAUGNNGAUGGACAUUGCAAAGAGUGGCGAACGGGUGAGUAACACGUGGGAAACCUACCUCUUAGCAGGGGAUAACAUUUGNAAACAGAUGCUAAUACCGUAUAACAAUGACAACCGCAUGGUUGUUAUUUGAAAGAUGGUUCUGCUAUCACUAAGAGAUGGUCCCGCGGUGCAUUAGCUAGUUGGUAAGGUAAUGGCUUACCAAGGCGAUGAUGCAUAGCCGAGUUGAGAGACUGAUCGGCCACAAUGGGACUGAGACACGGCCCAUACUCCUACGGGAGGCAGCAGUAGGGAAUCUUCCACAAUGGGCGAAAGCCUGAUGGAGCAACGCCGCGUGUGUGAUGAAGGGUUUCGGCUCGUAAAACACUGUUGUAAGAGAAGAAUGACAUUGAGAGUAACUGUUCAAUGUGUGACGGUAUCUUACCAGAAAGGAACGGCUAAAUACGUGCCAGCAGCCGCGG